rnacentral:rRNA from 1 species
AGUGAACGCUGGCGGUAGGCCUAACACAUGCAAGUCGAACGGCAGCACAGUAAGAGCUUGCUCUUACGGGUGGCGAGUGGCGGACGGGUGAGGAAUACAUCGGAAUCUACUUUUUCGUGGGGGAUAACGUAGGGAAACUUACGCUAAUACCGCAUACGACCUACGGGUGAAAGCAGGGGAUCUUCGGACCUUGCGCGAUUGAAUGAGCCGAUGUCGGAUUAGCUAGUUGGCGGGGUAAAGGCCCACCAAGGCGACGAUCCGUAGCUGGUGUGAGAGGAUGAUCGGCCACACUGGAACUGAGACACGGUCCAGACUCCUACGGGAGGCAGCAGUGGGGAAUAUUGGACAAUGGGCGCAAGCCUGAUACAGCCAUACCGCGUGGGUGAAGAAGGCCUUCGGGUUGUAAAGCCCUUUUGUUGGGAAAGAAAAGCAGCAGGUUAAUACCCCGCUGUUCUGACGGUACCCAAAGAAUAAGCACCGGCUAACUUCGUG